rnacentral:rRNA from 1 species
UACAGAGGUCCCAAGCGUUGUUCGGAUUCAUUGGGCGUAAAGGGUGCGUAGGCGGCGCGGUAAGUCGGGUGUGAAAUCUCGGAGCUUAACUCCGAAACUGCAUUCGAUACUGCCGUGCUUGAGGACUGGAGAGGAGACUGGAAUUUACGGUGUAGCAGUGAAAUGCGUAGAGAUCGUAAGGAAGGCCAGUGGCGAAGGCGAGUUCCUGGACAGUUACUGACGCUGAGGCACGAAGGCCAGGGGAGCAAACGGG